GGGAGAUCUGGGAAUGGUGAUGGGCCCACCACAGGCAGUUGGUGGGCCAGACAGAAGGUCUGGCUAGACUUGCUUGGAGAGGGGGCUAAUUGAAGAAGGGUUAGUAGAACUCUGAGGAGGGAACUUGAAGAUCCUGAAGAGAGCUCAGAGAAAGUGAGGGACUCCCAAAUCCAUCCUACUAACCCAGCAGCAAGGGUUGGUGGUGGGAAGUGACACUGGGCACAGACAGAUCAUGGCACAAUAUAUCUUGAGGCAGUUAAAGCUGGUCCUAAGCCGAUUUUUGCUGAGCAGACUGCAGAAGUGCAGGGUCUGCUAACCACCAAUCAAAUGCUAACACGACCGAAGCCUGUGUUUAUUGUGACCUGCAGCUAUGUCACAAGGAGCUAAUCACCAAAAGAAAAUGAGUCAAUUUUGAAAAGAAAAUGAGAGAUGAUAGAGCACCAAAAGAAAAUGGAA